rnacentral:tRNA from 1 species
GCUCUUUUAGCUCAGUUUGGUAGAGCAUCGGUCUUAUGAGCCGAGGGUCGCGGGAUCGAAGCCCGCAGGGAGCA